ACGCAGCGAAAUGCGAUACCUAGUGUGAAUUGCAGAAUUCCGCGAAUCAUCGAGUUUUUGAACGCAAGUUGCGCCCGAGGCUCGUACCGAGGGCAUGUCUGUCUGAGCGUCCA
rnacentral:rRNA from 1 species